UACGUAGGGUGCGAGCGUUGUCCGGAAUUAUUGGGCGUAAAGGGCUUGUAGGCGGUUUGUCGCGUCGGGAGUGAAAACCUUGGGCUUAACUCAGGGCUUGCUUUCGAUACGGGCAGACUAGAGGUAUGCAGGGGAGAACGGAAUUCCUGGUGUAGCGGUGAAAUGCGCAGAUAUCUGGAGGAACACCGGUGGCGAAGGCGGAUCUCUGGGCCUUACCUGACGCUGAGGCGCGAAAGCUAGGGGAGCGAACAGG
rnacentral:rRNA from 1 species